rnacentral:piRNA from 1 species
UAAUUUCUUCCUAUCUUGUUU